AAUACUUAACUGAUGUCACACAUGCCAUCACCCAUUUAAUCCAUUGUGGAUGAAAACCCAAUCUGUUCAUUGCUUCUCUCAAGAAAUCCCAAUCGACUCGAUCAUAUGUAAGCGCAAAAAUUAUUUCGUCCACCAUGACAAUUUUGGAUAGCGUGGACACAUUCAAAAGCAAUAACAGCAUUAUCAGUUAUUAGCCUUCCUGGAAUAAAAACACUUUGCAUUGGAGAGAUAAUAUGAAUAGGCCUUAAACUGUUUGCCAUACAUUUGGAAACUAUCAGCUUGGUCCUUUUUUGGAAUGAGCACAAUUGUUGUAAUAUUAGCCCCAUCAGGCAUGACCCCC
rnacentral:lncRNA from 1 species